UGCAAAUGCUCAUCACAGUGUCUGGGGCAGUUCAGACACCAACAGUAGAGAUUAAAAUUCAAACGGACCCUAAACUUUUAACAGGCCUUUAAAUCCGUGUAAGAUUCGACUAAGUCCACUAAAGCUUGUAGAGUAAACUCUAGAGACUUUGGCGAGAAAUACCCCUUUUAAUUAUCCAUACAUCCACUUUGGGAAACGAAAUGGAAGAUCUGGACUUUAUGACGACUCAUAGGUUCUUUGGAAUUCAAAUGCCCUUGGGAAGAACGAACAGAAGGAACUAAAACACCACUAAGAUGCCAAAAAAAAAAAAUCGGUGAAAUUCAUGGAAUUGACAACUAUUUAAAAUGAAAUAACAACAAUUAUUUACAAUUUCAAUAUAUCAACAGGUACAUAUUAUACCUAUAUUAUAUAACAAAACAGAAGUUUCUGUACUAUCAAUCAUUUAUAUCCCUGCUCUGUGACAGUCUGCUUACGGAAUGAACAAAUAUAUAUUGGUCUUCCAAUCUGUAUUUUUUUAAUUGUCCUUUGAUAUCGGUUCUCUGUAAUACCGGACUCAGAAUUGUGUUAUUACCCUUAAGCUUUUAA